AUAUAUAUAUAUAUAUCUCCUAUAUGUUCAUUCUGCUACAGUAUGGAAGAACCAAUAUAAAGUGAAAUCCUAAAUCUCUGACUGACAGCUGCUCACCACCUCAGCACUUUAUUAACCCCUCCACUUCCCUGGUGUGUGCAUCACCUCUCCGUGUGUCUCACUCCACGCUUGGCUUCCUUUCUAGGACCGAGGUCAACAUGAGAUCUACGUUAAACUAAAACAAAUGUUGUAGCAGAAUAAACAUGUAGGAAGAGCUGGGACAUUCACGUCCUCCCAAGAAAGUAAAGUCAUACAUGCAACACACUGAAAUAGAAGUUGCACGUCUCUUACCUUCUGUGCUCAUUAAUCAACCACUCAACAAAGCAGGCUCUUAUGUAAGUUCUGUAGCAACAGGGUCUAUUUCCAGAGGUGGAGGGAGACAGGAGGGUGCGACCCCUUCCUGGCCCAGAAGCAGGUGUGGCUCAAGUAUAUCAGAGGCCCCCCUCCGUCUGCAGACCACCAGGGGUAAAGGUCACCAACUAUGGGCAGAUACACUUCCACCCUAGGUUCCAUGGCGGCGGUGCAGCAGGUGCAGACAGAAUUGGAAUCACAACCAAACUGUCUUUAAAGGACUACUCCACAACUACGUGUGACAGUUUCAUAAAGUUUGGGUACUUGCAAGAGACAGAUACAAUAGAAGCCAACAUAACGACUUUUAGUGCCUACUACGAGUCAAGCAACCAAAAACGUGGGUUCCUACAUUUCCCAUAAUGCAACUCAAUGAGUGUCUUUCUCCCUGUCUGGUGAAGGUAGUCCUUCAAACUCCAUGUAACACGUUUUUCUGUUCCAUAAAUUCCAUAAAUUAUUAUGGAGAGUUCAAACAAUCAAUGCAAAGAUGCAAAGGAAAGAGUUGUACAGAGUAGAUACAUAUGUGUGUAAACAAUAUCUUCACUUCUGUUAGCAUCGCCCUGAACAAACCAAACUCCAUUCAGAAAACAAGCAUUUUAAAAGCUGCUUGCUUGUCGUCUUGCAGACCGACGUCACUGAACAUGAAUUCAGCCUUUUUACAAAUCAGCCUCAUUAUUUACGUGUAAUCGGCAUCUUUUGGUCUGUUAAUUGCAAUUAAAUCACAGCAAAUCUGAUUAUGUUCGGUUCACAUCGCUGUAGCUAACUACAUAAAGCCGCUCAAAGUAAUGGGAUUAAACACAAAUGAGUGAACACAGUCCAGACGACCCUGCCUAUAUUACUAAGACAUCCUCAGGGUUAUUUCUCAUGAGCAGUAAAGUGAUAUGUGAAAUCAGUGCAGUGCGCUGUUCUUUAUUGUGGCCUCACACUAAAUGCAUGUAGAGGAAGACAUCAUGCCACAUCAUGCACCUCCUUUCCUUCAGCCAGUUUGUGCUGCAACCUUUGCAUGGCUGCUGUCAGCCUAUCACUGCAUGCCAGACUAUGUUAAUCUGAUGGCAGGAAGCUGGCAUGGACACCCGUCUCCGUGUUGUUUCUUCACUACAGUUGGCAGAGGGAAGCUGUGGGCACUGUCCCUCUGUGAGUCCACCUCUCUGCACUGUUCUGCACCAUGGAUCAGCUGGUACUGAUCUGAGAGACCGUGUUGACACAACACAUGAGCCCUGAGGGCUCAUGUGUUGUUUCCUCUAAAACAACCUGUGCACUUGGCAGUUUGGCAUCUUUUUGGCAGCAGGGGUCAGUCCCCGUAGAAGUGUUUGCUUUGUCAGUUGGCAGUCUGUGUCUGCACCGGGCUGGAAGUGUGGGAACGUAGGAGACUCGGGUUUGAUAGAAGAUGAGAGAACACCGUAAGGCCACUAGAAACGUGUUGUCGGCAAAACCAUAAAAGUGAGAAUGUUCUCUGUCAGAGGGCUUUCCCCGUGUACCACGUCCUCCCUGUUUGGAUCUCGUGGAGGUGAUAGGAACAGUGGGACAGUAUAAGUGUGUAAGUAUGUCGUGCACUUUGUUUUCUCCUCCUCACCCUAAAGCACAGCGACUGCAGGAGCUCAACGUCUGCUCGAAUCCUUUGUUAUCACAUUUGAUGGCCUGUCUGCACACGCAGCUCCGCUCCACAGGCACACAACGCUGUUUCCACCGUGCACAGCGACACGUCUCGGUGUGUUCAGCCCCUAAAGAGACGGGAUUAGUAGCCUUCAGCGAGAGAUAGCGACGGUGAAUAAGGAAUGGGCGUAUGCUGUCGCCGGAGACGUAGAAAGACGUGCACACUAAAUCCUGCUGCCAUGUGUCUGUCUUUACAUCAAGAUGGAUUCCUACGGGAGGCCCCUCAAGACUGCUGAAGUGGUCUAUCUAUGAAUAGGCUAGGCAGAGACACAGAUGUGUGUCCACAUCACAAAGAGACUGAAAUACACACAGCCAAAUAUCAGGUUCAGCUUUCCACCGGCUCUCCACAUCACUGCUGUGCAGAUGUCGCCGCUGCAGCGCAAAGAGAGCGGCUCUUUACGAGUGUGAAGAAGACGUUUGCAGGUUCAGUCAAGUGAGCUGCAGAUGUAAUUUGCACACGUGUGUCAGAAACAGUCGGAGCCUCUGAUGCUUUGGUUGAAGAUUGUUCCGUGCUAUGAACCCUGACACGACCUCAGAGGAAACAACAUAUUCAUAAUAUUCACUAUACUAGUAGUUCUAACAUUUAAAAAGUAUGUUUAAUAAGUGUGACCACUUUCACCACUAUGACAGACGAUGUGUCCAGAGGUAAUAGUGCGUCUCCCUGACCCCAUGCACAUCUCCAUCAUCACUAUCAGACUCAUCUACGACCCGACGGACAGUCUGCGUCUGUAUUACCUGGACGUGUGAUACUAUCUCUGUCUUACAAUGUAAAAGCAACACAAGAGGACAGACAGACAGACAGACAGACAGACAGACAGACAGACAGACAGACAGACAGACAGACAGACAGACAGACAGACAGACACAUAUAAUAUAGCUUUCAGAAAACCUUCUCUGGAGGUGAUUUAAUACUGCUAUUUAAAACACAAAACUUUUCCUUAUGAGAAUGUUUAUCACAGGUGUCAGUGGAAAAGAGUCCAACAUGGUUUACAUGCACGUUACCACUUGUGUAUUAUUGGCACAUAUUAUUUAGCUCAUAACUGAAAGUAAUAACUGAAGUAGAGUCCAUGUGGCUGCAGACCUGAGAUGGAAGAUGUUGGUGUAUCUGAGAGGUUCUGGUCUCACUGGGCUCUGAGCCGAUCAUUCCCAGCCAGUGUUCAGACACAGCUGUGUCCCUCUUCACCCGGCCUGCACUUCCUCUCAGCUCGUCUGAGUCCAACUGGAGGGUUUAUACGAGGAGAGAAUGGGACCCUGGUGUCCCCUAAUACAACGUUCUGUUUAAACAUGUUGGAGUCAGCAGGAGAGAGAGGAGACAAAGUGCACUGCAUCCUGUUAUUUCUGUGUAUUCGUCAGACUUAACAAAGAUAAGAGAACAACACAUAACAGAUCAUCUGGAUUCUUGUGAAUCAUGCAGGACGUCUACGUGGCGAGUGACAGUUAGCAGACUGAGUCAGAGUGGACGGCCCAUACGUGUAAAGGGAGCGAGAUGAGUCGCUGCAGAGCUGCACAGAACAUGUGGACACCCCGGGAGGAACCUGGGGGACUGCCAUCAAUCUGUACGUCAAACCGUCACGUUUGUUCUUAUCAUACGCAGAUGGCUCUGUCGUGCUCCUCCUCCCUGUUGUCAGUCUGGCUCCCAUCUGUUGCUCUCUCCUCCUCCCGUCUUUCUGCAUCUUAAUUGCUCCUAAUAAGCAGAAACAUAAUGUACAGUAUUCAACACACACCGCUCCCUCUCUGCACCGCUCCCCUCCUCCUUCCUCUCAUCCUUUGCACACUGCACAGUCACAUCCAUCACUGGAGGUCUUCCACUCGUGCUCAAGCCAAGUUUAUCCAACAGCAACUUUAAAGAAAAGAUGCAAAGAUACUUUCCUUUAGUGUUUGAGGAGGAAGAUUACAGAAAGUCCACGUCGGUGGAAGAGAUGUUGGAGGUCUCGGCUGCAGAGAUGGCUGCCUUCUCUACAAUAUAACAGAAGAAGAUGGGGAUCAAAGCGCCAAAAAAUAUGUUUUAAAAACUCAACAGCAAAUUCUCUUUUCAGAAAUCAUGACAUUGUAUCAUCGCACAGGAGCAGCGUGCAAGAGACAUCGCUGUUGAGUUUUUCAUCUCCAUUC